rnacentral:ncRNA from 2 species
CUGUUAAAACUUAAGUAAGUUAACAAUCUAAACCGUUUAUUUAGGAAGCCGGUGAAACCCCUUACCAAAAUUUUGGUGCGGGGGUGUAAUCCGGCACUGUGCCGCAACUGUAAGCCCCUAAGGGGCAAGUCAGAUACUGAAUAAACGAGAUCUGUGGUU